CCUCUUCUCCACACUUGAACACAUGAAGCUUUUAGAACUGAUUCACAUCAAGCAGCACUUCAGCACACGAGCCCAGCAGCAGAAUAUUAUUUUUGUAACAAAAUGAACGUCAAGGAAGGAUGCAGCCAUUAUAUGCCCCAUCACAACCUGCUGAAACGCAUCACAAACAGAUUCUAGUGAUGCUCGGGAAGACUGAGGUUCAGUGAGGACAGGUGGGAAGGAAGUAGAAGCGCUCCCAGACUUCAGCUGAACUGUCUGGAAGGGGCACUGUCACUCUGGCAAGAAGCUGAGAAGCAACAGAACCAAAGAGACAAGGCCCGUAGGGAGGGUUGUCUUUGAGAGUAUCCCUGACGGUAGCAGUGACUAUGGAGCAGUGCUGUUCCCUGCCUGGAGCGGGAGAGCUAGCGUUCUAAAGCCCAGUAACAUCCACCCCAGUACCUCUCCUGAGCAGCCUUGUCGCUAGUACUCCUCAUCAUGACUUGGAUUCGGUCCA